GAUGAACGCUGGCGGCGUGCCUAAUACAUGCAAGUCGAGCGAACAGAUGAGGAGCUUGCUCCUCUGACGUUAGCGGCGGACGGGUGAGUAACACGUGGAUAACCUACCUAUAAGACUGGGAUAACUUCGGGAAACCGGAGCUAAUACCGGAUAAUAUAUUGAACCGCAUGGUUCAAUAGUGAAAGACGGUUUUGCUGUCACUUAUAGAUGGAUCCGCGCCGCAUUAGCUAGUUGGUAAGGUAACGGCUUACCAAGGCAACGAUGCGUAGCCGACCUGAGAGGGUGAUCGGCCACACGGGAGCUGAGACACGGUCCAGACUCCUACGGGAGGCAGCAGUAGGGAAUCUUCCGCAAUGGGCGAAAGCCUGACGGAGCAACGCCGCGUGAGUGAUGAAGGUCUUCGGAUCGUAAAACUCUGUUAUUAGGGAAGAACAAAUGUGUAAGUAACUAUGCACGUCUUGACGGUACCUGAUCAGAAAGCCACGGCUAACUACGUG
rnacentral:rRNA from 1 species